CGGACGGGUGAGUAACACGUAGGUAACCUGCCCUUGAAUGGGGGAUACCCAGCCGAAAGGUUGGCUAAUACCGCAUACGCUCUGGAGUUGGAAUACUUUAGAGGAAAGAUUUAUCGUUCAAGGAGGGGCCUGGGUCCGAUUAGCUAGUUGGUGAGGUAAUGGCUCACCAAGGCGACGAUCGGUAGCUGGUCUGAGAGGACGAUCAGCCACACUGGAACUGAGACACGGUCCAG
rnacentral:rRNA from 1 species